UUUAAAAUCCAUAUCCACCUUGUGUGAAAUGUCUGUCGCUUGCUUUUUUCUUCGGAAAAAAGGGGUGGCUCUACAUCAACUCAUUUUAAAUACUUUGUCUGAAAACUAUUAUGAAUAAACUAAUUCAAAAUACAACUUUCAACAACGGAUCUCUUGGCUCUCGCAUCGAUGAAGAACGCAACGAAAUGCGAUACGUAAUGUGAAUUGCAGAAUUCAGUGAAUCAUCGAAUCUUUGAACGCAUAUUGCGCUCUUUGGUAUUCCGAAGAGCAUGCUUGUUUGAGUAUCAGUAAACACCUCAACACUCUCGAUUUGUUUCGAAUGAGUGUUGGAUUUGAGCAAACCCAACGCCUUUCUGCUAGUCAGACUUGCGGCGGGUUGCUUGAAAUGCAGGUGCAGCUGAGUUUUCUUCUGAGCUAAUAGCAUACUUAAUUAGUCCCGUAAAAAGGAUUAUUAAUCUGCUGAAGCUUACACCAAAGGAAGAGCUCUUGGCUGACUGAUGCAGAAUUACGCUUAGCUGGCAACAGCUUUGUAAAACUCGAUCUCAAAUCAAGUAAGACUACCCGCUGAACUUAAG
rnacentral:rRNA from 1 species